rnacentral:rRNA from 1 species
AACGUACGCUGGCGGCACGCCUAACACAUGCAAGUCGAACGAAGUAGCAAUACUUAGUGGCAGACGGGUGAGUAACAUGUGGGUAUCUGCCCUUUGGCCUGGAAUAACACGAGGAAACUUGUGCUAAUACCGGAUAAGUCUUUACGGAGAAAGCUUUAUGCACCAUUGGAUGAGCCUGCACUUGAUUAGUUUGUUGGUGGGGUAAUGGCCUACCAAGACUGUGAUCAAUAGCUGAUUUGAGAGGAUGAUCAGCCACAUUGGGACUGAGACACGGCCCAAACUCCUACGGGAGGCAGCAGUGGGGAAUCUUGCACAAUGGAGGAAACUCUGAUGCAGCGAUGCCGCGUGAGUGAAGAAGGCCCUUGGGUUGUAAAGCUCUUUCGUCGGGGAAGAAAAUGACUGUACCCGAAUAAGAAGGUCCGGCUAACUUCGUGCCAGCAGCCGCGGUAAUACGAAGGGACCUAGCGUAGUUCGGAAUUACUGGGCUUAAAGAGUUCGUAGGUGGUUGAAAAAGUUAGUGGUGAAAUCCCAGAGCUUAACUCUGGAACUGCCAUUAAAACUUUUCAGCUAGAGUAUGAUAGAGGAAAGCAGAAUUUCUAGUGUAGAGGUGAAAUUCGUAGAUAUUAGAAAGAAUACCAAUUGCGAAGGCAGCUUUCUGGAUCAUUACUGACACUGA